rnacentral:rRNA from 1 species
ACGGCGAGUGAAGCGGCAAUAGCUCAAAUUUGAAAGCUGGCCCCUUUGGGGUCCGCGUUGUAAUUUGUAGAGGAUGAUUCGGCGAGGGCUCCCGUCUAAGUCCCCUGGAACGGGGCGUCAUAGAGGGUGAGAAUCCCGUAUGUGAUGGGUUGCCUUAGCCAUGUGAAUCUCCUUCGACGAGUCGAGUUGUUUGGGAAUGCAGCUCUAAAUGGGAGGUAAAUUUCUUCUAAAGCUAAAUACCGGCCAGAGACCGAUAGCGCACAAGUAGAGUGAUCGAAAGAUGAAAAGCACUUUGGAAAGAGAGUUAAAAAGUACGUGAAAUUGUUGAAAGGGAAGCGCUUGCAGCCAGACUUGUCCGCAGUUGCUCAGCCGGUCUCCUGACCGGCGUACUCUUCUGCGGCCAGGCCAGCAUCAGUUCGGGCGGUCGGAUAAAGACCUCGGGAAUGUAGCUCCUCUCGGGGAGUGUUAUAGCCCGGGGUGGAAUGCGGCCAGCCUGGACUGAGGAUCUCGCUUCGGCUAGGAUGCUGGCGUAAUGGCUGUAAGCGGCCCGUCUUGAAACACGGACCAAGGAGUCUAACAUCUAUGCGAGUGUUUGGGUGUCAAACCCAUACGCGUAAUGAAAGUGAACGGAGGUGGGAACCCUCACGGGUGCACCAUCGACCGAUCCUGAUGUCUUCGGAUGGAUUUGAGUAUGAGCAUAGCUGUUGGGACCCGAAAGAUGGUGAACUAUGCCUGAAUAGGGUGAAGCCAGAGGAAACUCUGGUGGAGGCUCGCAGCGGUUCUGACGUGCAAAUCGAUCGUCAAAUUUGGGUAUAGGGGCGAAAGACUAAUCGAACCAUCUAGUAGCUGGUUCCUGCCGAAUUUU